rnacentral:rRNA from 1 species
UAUACCGUAGCUUGCUACACCAUAGACUGUGAGUUGCGAACGGGUGAGUAACGCGUAGGUAACCUGCCUAUUAGAGGGGGAUAACUAUUGGAAACGAUAGCUAAUACCGCAUAACAGUAUGUAACACAUGUUAGAUGCUUGAAAGAUGCAAUUGCAUCGCUAGUAGAUGGACCUGCGUUGUAUUAGCUAGUAGGUAGGGUAAAGGCCUACCUAGGCAACGAUACAUAGCCGACCUGAGAGGGUGAUCGGCCACACUGGGGCUGAGACACGGCCCAGACUCCUACGGGAGGCAGCAGUAGGGAAUCUUCGGCAAUGGGGGGAACCCUGACCGAGCAACGCCGCGUGAGUGAAGAAGGUUUUCGGAUCGUAAAGCUCUGUUGUUAAGGAAGAACGAGUGUGAGAAUGGAAAGUUCAUACUGUGAC